rnacentral:rRNA from 1 species
ACUCCUACGGGAGGCAGCAGUGGGGAAUAUUGCACAAUGGGCGCAAGCGUGAUGCAGCCAUGCCGCGUGUGUGAAGAAGGCCUUCGGGUUGUAAAGCACUUUCAGCGGGGAGGAAGGCGAUAAGGUAAUCACCUAAGCGAUGACGUACCCGAGA